rnacentral:rRNA from 1 species
AUACGUAGGGGGCGAGCGUUGCUCGGAAUCACUGGGCGUAAAGGACGCGUAGGCGGGUUUGUAAGUCAGGUGUGAAACCCUACAGCUCAACUGUAGAACUGCACUUGAAACUACAGACCUAGAGUAUGGAAGGGGCAGAUGGAAUUAGUGGUGUAGGGGUAAAAUCCGUAGAUAUCACUAGGAAUACCGAAAGCGAAGGCGAUCUGCUGGGACAUUACUGACGCUGAGGCGUGAAAGCGUGGGGAGCAAACAGGAUUAGAAACCCUAGUAGUCC